UCCGCCCGCUGGCGGCGUGCCUAAUACAUGCAAGUUGAGCGCUGAAGGUUGGUACUUGUACCGACUGGAUGAGCAGCGAACGGGUGAGUAACGCGUGGGGAAUCUGCCUUUGAGCGGGGGACAACAUUUGGAAACGAAUGCUAAUACCGCAUAAAAACUUUAAACACAAGUUUUAAGUUUGAAAGAUGCAAUUGCAUCACUCAAAGAUGAUCCCGCGUUGUAUUAGCUAGUUGGUGAGGUAAAGGCUCACCAAGGCGAUGAUACAUAGCCGACCUGAGAGGGUGAUCGGCCACAUUGGGACUGAGACACGGCCCAAACUCCUACGGGAGGCAGCAGUAGGGAAUCUUCGGCAAUGGACGAAAGUCUGACCGAGCAACGCCGCGUGAGUGAAGAAGGGUUUCGGAUCGUAAAACUCUGUUGGUAGAGAAGAACGUUGGUGAGAGUGGAAAGCUCAUCAAGUGACGGUAACUACCCAGAAAGGGACGGCUAACUACGUG
rnacentral:rRNA from 1 species